GACGAACGCUGGCGGCGUGCCUAAUACAUGCAAGUCGAACGCAGUGGGGACGGGUGAGUAACACGUGGGUAACCUCCCAUCAGAGCGGAUAACACUUGGCAACAGGUGCUAAACCUAUAUUUAUGGAUGGACCCGCGGUGCAUUAGCUAGUUGGUGAGGUAACGGCGCCCCAAGGCCAAGAUGCAUAGCCGACCUGAGAGGUUGAUGGGCCACAUGGGAACUGAGACACGGCCAAGACUCCUAGGGGAGGCAGAAGUAGGGAAUCUUCGGAAAUGGACGAAAGUCGGACGGAGCAACGCCGCGUGAGUGAAGAAGGUUUCCGGAUCGUAAAACUCUGUUGUUAGAGAAGCGGUAUCUAACCAGAAAGCCACGGCUAACUACGUGCCAGCAGCCGCGGUAAUAC
rnacentral:rRNA from 1 species